rnacentral:tRNA from 5 species
GCCGACUUAGCUCAGCUGGCCAGAGCAGCGGUCUUGUAAACCGCAGGUCGUCGGUUCGACUCCGACAGUCGGCUUUU